rnacentral:rRNA from 1 species
UUCGGGGUAGAUCUCCCACCCUUUGUAUACCAUACCUCUGUUGCUUUGGCGGGCCGCCUAGCUACUGGCUUCGGCUGGUAAGUGCCCGCCAGAGGACCCAAAACCCCGAAUAUUAGUGUCGUCUGAGUAAAAUUUUAAUAUUUAAAACUUUCAACAACGGAUCUCUUGGCUCUGGCAUCGAUGAAGAACGCAGCGAAAUGCGAUAAGUAAUGUGAAUUGCAGAAUUCAGUGAAUCAUCGAAUCUUUGAACGCACAUUGCGCCCCUUGGUAUUCCGAGGGGCAUGCCUAUUCGAGCGUCAUUAUCACCCCUCAAGCCUAGGCUUGGUGUUGAGACCUGCUGUCAAGGCAGUCUCUAAAAUCAGUGGCAGUGCUGUCAGGCUCUAAGCGUAGUAAAUUCGUCGCUAUAGGGUCCUGGUGGAUACUCGUCAAAACCCCCCCAUUUUUUAAUGAUUGACCUCGGAUUAGGUAGGGAUACCCGCUGAACUUAAGCAUAUCAAUAAGCGGAGGACGUCUUGGUCAUUUAGAGGAAGUAAUCCGGCAUAUCAAUAAGCGGAGGAA